rnacentral:lncRNA from 1 species
CUAAAUCUUCCUAACCAAAGUCAUAAACAUCCAAUUGGGAGAUGGCUUUCCUUAUAAAUUACUAUAUGACAACAAUUCUCUACAUCCUUUAAUGUCAAGCUCCUUGCCAUCUUGGUAUCUUAAUCAAAUCAAACAAUUUAAUCAUCAUUUUUUCUAGAGAAUAUUUAUCAGUUUUUCCCUGCUCCGAUAGGAUGUUCUAUCAAGGUUAGGGCUCAACAAUGAAGACAUUUACCCAUGAUUCUUUAACAACAAAUUCACUCAAUAUUCUUCUGUAAAAAGUAGUUGUUUCAUCAUAUACUAUGAAAGCAAUGAAUCCAUUUAACAACUCUAAAUGCAAAAUGUCAAAACGGUCAACCAUGUAUGAGGGUAAAGGUGUUAUAAGGAACGUCUCAUUGCACAAGUCUAAUGAAAUCAAGCAUGGACCGACAUUACUAAUACUAUUGAUCAUAAUCUUUUAUACUCACUAGUGAUACACUUUAUCCAUGUAAUGGUAGUUAAAGUAGUUAAUAGUUGUUAUAGUUAGUUAAUAGGUUAUGAGGUAGUUAGUACUUUUGUGUAUAAGUAAUAUGAGAGUUAAGUAGUUAGUUGAGAUACAAGUAAUCUGGGGGGUUAUGUAGCUACAAGAAAUACACUAGAAACGAUAAUAGAGAUAUAAUGAUAUAUGAUUACAAAUGGUUUCCUCCGAAGAUAUUUGAGAGUCUUGGUCUCUCCUUUCCAAGAAUUAGAGAGCUUGGCCUGUCCCUCUAAAUUCAUAAUCGAUAACCGUCUACCCUCCUUUUUGCAAUAACUUCAUUUAUUCUUAUCACAUAAAAAAAUCGCCAUAACUCUAAUAUUUACUAAUAAGAUGUCUAAC